AUUGUCUUAAUUAUUUUCCUUAAUUUUUCAGGCUUACGAAAUCAAUCUUCAGCUUACAGCAGUCAUUUCAAGGCUUUCUCUCUUACCACAUCCUUUUCUUCAUGAGUACCUUCUGAAUCCACUGCUUAAUCGGAAACCAGGCUCUGAUUCAUUGGUGAAAGCUCUGGGUGAUGUAGCUGCACAUCUUCUAAAUAGAGUUUGUGAAAUACCAGACUAUAAAGUGAAGCUAAUAAAUACGAGGCAUAGACUUUUGGGAGAUAUUCCUGAAGAAACGAACGUUGACUGCAGUCUACUUGAGAGUAUAGUUGUCUUGGAAGAACUGUGCAAAGAGUUAGCAGCCAUCGCCUAUGUCAAAUUCCACAGUGCUACCUGACAAGCAUCUUUGCAAUUAAUAAGUAGAAUCAUUGUUGUACAAACGCACAUUUAUACUCAUCAAUAUUAAGCAUUAUUUGUUACAAUCAAGCCAGUACAAUGUUUCUAGAUGCCCAUAAAACAUGGACGACAAUAGGAGGCUCUGCUACAUCUACUUUGCAUCAGGUCCCUAAAUUAACCACCUGUAUUUUUUAAAGGUUUCUGAAGUUAUGUUGACAUUUUCGAUUUGACAUAAUAUGCAUUAUUACUCAGUGGCGGCUGGAGUAAAUAUAGUUUGGAGGUUGCAGGUAUCAGGCAAAACUCUCAUAGUAAAUACGGAAACAAUAGGAAACAAAUUACAAUUUGUCAUUAAAUGGAACUUGUAUACUGACUAUAACUGUAUAGUCCAAACAGUAUAGUCCAUGUACGGAGUAGAGUCCGUAAUUCAAUUAUAGAGUUGAAGUACGUCUCCUCUUUAUUUUUGCCUUCAAAGUAUCCUAUGGGAUAUUCAACUCCCGAGCUGUCAGAUUGCUCAGGUAUAUUUAAAAAAAAAAAAAAUGUUACAAUAUCCACGAUAACGGAAGAUAAACUUCAAACUCCUAGACCCCAUGACAAUACUUAAAAGUUCAGUAGCAGGAACAUCGAAAUAAGUUUUACUCAAAUUACUAAGAGAAUCAAUUACUAAAUUUAGAGGGUAAUUAGAUUCCCUCCAAUUGUUCAUUCUAUUUAAAAGAUCGCUAAAAACUCCAUCAUUUAAUAUGAAAACAAGAACAUUCUUAUCGGUAAACAAACUCUUAUAUUAUUUGAAUCACAUAACUCAUUUAGUUGAUUCCAUUCUUCAAAGGAGAAAUACUUUUUAUUCCUAAGCAAUGAGAGACCUUCAGAUGUGUUCACACUAUUUUUCAUUUUUGCAAAAGAAAUCAUAACAUCCACCCUUUCACCAAAAUUAUAGACUAGGCUCAUUCUACUUUUAUGAGUAAUUAUUAUUGAACGAAAAUCCUAAAUAAAUGUUGCAAAUCACACCGAAGACCUCUGCUACUGCAGACAUUGACAACAGG